AAGUCGUAACAAGGUUUCCGUAGGUGAACCUGCGGAAGGAUCAUUAUCGAGCUUUAUUUGAACGGGUUGUAGCUGGCCUUUUAAUCGAGGCAUGUGCACGCUCGGCUCAAUUCCACUCUUAACCACUGUGCACUUUUUGUAAGAUCGGUUGAAGGACUUUGUGUAAUAAUAAAGUUCGGAAGCCUUUCUUAUGUUUACUACAAACGCUUCAGUUAUAGAAUGUCUAUUUGUGUAUAACACAUUUAUAUACAA
rnacentral:misc_RNA from 1 species